rnacentral:sRNA from 1 species
ACUCAACGUUAAUUCUUUAAAAAGGGUGAGUUGAAGUUGUAAAACCGUGCUGCUAGUGCUGAUUUAUUUCAGUAUCUCGGGCAGAUUUUUGAGCAGCUUGUUAGCCCUAAACUUGUUUUUAAGGAGUUU